rnacentral:lncRNA from 1 species
AGAGACGAGGUCUCACUGUGUUGGUAUCUCAGGCACCUAGAACAAUGGCUGGCACACAGAGGACACCCAGUAAAUAUUUCUUGAAUGAAUUCACUGCAGUCAUUGACAACAUCACAGUUUGAGCACAGGGUGGAAGUGAAAAAACAAAAUAGUGAUUUCUAAUGAUAAUGUAGCUUCUUGUUUUCUCGGUCAAUGGAAUCCACUUUUUCUUGUAUAAAAAGAAAAGGUUUUCCUCU